GCGGAGGAAAAGAAACCAACUGGGAUUACCUUAGUAACGGCGAGUGAAGCGGUAAAAGCUCAAAUUUGAAAUCUGGUACUUUCAGUGCCCGAGUUGUAAUUUGUAGAAUUUGUCUUUGAUUAGGUCCUUGUCUAUGUUCCUUGGAACAGGACGUCAUAGAGGGUGAGAAUCCCGUUUGGCGAGGAUACCUUUUCUCUGUAAGACUUUUUCGAAGAGUCGAGUUGUUUGGGAAUGCAGCUCAAAGUGGGUGGUAAAUUCCAUCUAAAGCUAAAUAUUGGCGAGAGACCGAUAGCGAACAAGUACAGUGAUGGAAAGAUGAAAAGAACUUUGAAAAGAGAGUGAAAAAGUACGUGAAAUUGUUGAAAGGGAAGGGCAUUUGAUCAGACAUGGUGUUUUUUGCAUGCACUCGCCUCUCGUGGGCUUGGGCCUCUCAAAAAUUUCACUGGGCCAACAUCAAUUCUGGCAGCAGGAUAAAUCAUUAAGAAUGUAGCUACUUCGGUAGUGUUAUAGCUUUUUGGAAUACUGUUAGCCGGGAUUGAGGACUGCGCUUCGGCAAGGAUGUUGGCAUAAUGGUUAAAUGCCGCCCGUCUUGAA
rnacentral:rRNA from 1 species